AUCAGUAUCAUCUGACGUGGCUUC
rnacentral:siRNA from 1 species